GGCACAUUCAGAUUACAAGUCAUUCAGUUGCCUUUGUUGCCGGAUCAGAUUCCUCAUCGUUGCCCCCCUGACGGGACCGACGCUGUACUCACAAUGAUUUCACAACUACACUUUCAAGUGUCAGGAAUCAAACUGCGGGCCGUGGUGGACUCCACGUCUGGAUUUUCAUAUUGAAUUAUCCGCUCUGGUGGAACGGCGACCUUCGCUCUGUGUGCGGAUCGAAGCUCUUCUUGAUUCGUCUCUCCUGCCGAGAGCCCUGAGGGACCUCAUCUGGUUAAACAUAGCUGGGUUCACGCAGGAAUAAAGGCUAAGUAUAGAAAGAACAUCAGUUAAUUCAGCAUAUAGAGGAAACACUUUGUAGAGACAAGUGAAACAACUGAGACUGAGCCCUGAACAGCGGAGCUUCCUUACAUCAUUCUUCUGAAGUUUUAAUGUGAACUUGAUGAGCCGACAGUAUUAGAUUUGAUCUGUUUGAGUCCUGGGGCCGUCUUCCCUGUCCACCAAGUCUGCUGCAACUGAUGUUCUCCACUCCCUGCUGUUCUCCCCCAGGUUGUCGCAGGGAAAGUUUCAUAGCUACAGAGACACAGAGCGUCCCUGUAAUCAAAGUGAUGAUGGAAGAAGUACCACCUUUACUUUGGGUAAAAUUUACUCAAAGUCCUGAACCAACCAGAGUUUCUUCCUGUGUAACUGUCAAUGUUACAGGGGUGUGGUAAAUGGCUGUUCAUAAUCCAUUACAAUCGAAACCAGACAGCCUUUAAAGUUGGAUAGGAUAGCAAAAGCACGUAUAUAAGCAGGUAUGGUGAUAGCUGUCGCCCACACAAGAGUUUGUCAAGGGUAUUGAAGAUCUGCAGAGUUUAUUCAUGGUUAAACUGUAACCUGCAUGAUUCGUUUACCACCGCCAGACACGUUUCCCUCUGAUUCAGUGCCAGUGUUUCUAUUUCAGUUGUAAAGUGACUGACGAUCUUGUUUAUCAAAUCCUAAAUAAUCUGUCUAUGAAAAACACAGCACCUCAACCUGAAGCGAACAGGAACUGUCAAAACAUGGAGCAACCAAAACCAGAAACGCUGACACCUUGCAACAGCUUACAGUUCUGCCUCCACAAGACAAACUUCACUUCCUCACACCUCAACACUCAGCUCAGGUGCACCGCCGUUGCCCCCACAAACUCAAACCUAGCAAGGUUAGCUGUCAAGCAGCUGAACAGACGUGCUCAACAUGAGGUUUCUAAACACAAAUACAAGUCAUAAAGUC